rnacentral:rRNA from 1 species
CGUAGGGUGCGAGCGUUAUCCGGAAUUAUUGGGCGUAAAGAGCUCGUAGGCGGUUUGUCGCGUCUGUCGUGAAAGUCCCGGGGCUUAACCCCGGAUCGUGCGGUGGGUACGGCAGACUAGAGUGCAGUAGGGGAGACUGGAAGUUCCUGGUGUAGCGGUGGAAUGCGACAGAUAUCAGGAGGAACACCGAUGGCGAAGGCAGGUCUCUGGGCUGUAACUGACGCUGAGGAGCGAAAGCAAUGGGGGAGCGAACAGGAUU